UGGGGAAUAUUGGACAAUGGGCGCAAGCCUGAUCCAGCCAUGCCGCGUGAGUGACGAAGGCCUUAGGGUUGUAAAGCUCUUUUGGCGGGGAAGAUAAUGACGGUACCCGCAGAAUAAGCUCCGGCUAACUUCGUGCCAGCAGCCGCGGUAAUACGAAGGGAGCUAGCGUUGUUCGGAAUCACUGGGCGUAAAGCGCAUGUAGGCGGAUGUGUCAGUCAGGGGUGAAAUCCCGGAGCUCAACUUCGGAACUGCCCUUGAUACAGCACGUCUCGAGUCCGAGAGAGGUGAGUGGAAUUCCUAGUGUAGAGGUGAAAUUCGUAGAU
rnacentral:rRNA from 1 species